rnacentral:tRNA from 1 species
GCGCUUGUACCUCGGUGAAUAAAGUGUUUGUUUUCUAAGCAGGAAGUUAUUGGUUCCACCCCUGUCUAGCACG